UGCCUGUCUCAUUCCUGGCCUGCCCUGAAGCAGCUGUCCAAAAACCAUUAGUUUAUGGGCUCAGUUUUGUCCAAGACCUGGACCAAUAAGCAUGAAGCAAUUCUACAUAUUUGGAUUUGUUUCUUUCCUGGCCCAUGAAGGAAGAAUCCAUGACCCAAAGUGUCCAAACUUGGAGAAGAACCUCUUGACAAGAUCAAGUGUAAGAUGAAUAAGAAAUCAAUUUGUACUGAAC
rnacentral:lncRNA from 1 species